AUCCCGUGAUGAGGACACUUCCUUAACAGAAACUUAAAUCACUUCCAUGCCUCGUACAGAGUUUCACCCUCAAUCUACUUGAAAUUUGCAAUAUCACAUCUGAGCU
rfam:Gossypium hirsutum cultivar TM-1 chromosome 9, whole genome shotgun sequence